rnacentral:rRNA from 1 species
GAAACUGUUAUUCUUGAGUAUGGAUGAAGUGGGCGGAAUAUGUCAUGUAGCGGUGAAAUGCAUAGAUAUGACAUGGAACACCAAUUGCGAAGGCAGCUCACUAAACCAUUACUGACGCUCAUGGACGAAAGCGUGGGGAGCGAACAGGAUUAGAUACCCUGGUAGUCCACGCCGUAAACGAUGAUCACUAGAUGUUGGCGAUAUAAUGUCAGCGUUCAAGAGAAAUCGAUAAGUGAUCCACCUGGGGAGUACGUUCGCAAGAAUGAAACUCAAAGGAAUUGACGGGGGCCCGCACAAGCGGAGGAGCAUGUGGUUUAAUUCGAUGAUACGCGAGGAACCUUACCAAGGCUUAAAUGUAAUAUGACCGGUUGAGAGAUCAACCUUUUUUCGAACAGAUUACAAGGUGCUGCAUGGUUGUCGUCAGCUCGUGCCGUGAGGUGUCGGGUUAAGUCCCAUAACGAGCGCAACCCCUAUUUUUAGUUACCAGCGAGUAAUGUCGGGAACUCUAGAAAAACUGCCUGUGCAGACAGAGAGGAAGGUGGGGAUGACGUCAAAUCAUCACGGCCCUUAUGUCUUGGGCUACACACGUGCUACAAUGGUUACUACAAUGUGAUGCCAUCUGGUGACAGAGAGCUAAUCAAUAAAGGUAAUCUCAGUUCGGAUCGGAGUCUGCAACUCGACUCUGUGAAGUUGGAUUCGCUAGUAAUCGUAUAUCAGCCAUGAUACGGUGAAUACGUUCCCGGGCCUUGUACACACCGCCCGUCAAGCCAUGGAAGUUUGGGGUACCUGAAGUCAGUAACCGCAAGGAACUGCCUAGGGUAAAACAAAUAACUAGGGCUAAGUCGUAACAAGGUAGCCGUA